rnacentral:rRNA from 1 species
GGACCCGCACAAGUAGUGGAGCAUGUGGUUUAAUUCGAAGAUACGCGCAGAACCUUACCAACCCUUGAAAUCUAGCGAAGUUCACAGAGAUGAGAAUGUGCCUUCGGGAACGCUAUGACAGGUGUUGCAUGGCUGUCGUCAGCUCGUGUCGUGAGAUGUAUGGUUAAGUCCAGUAACGAGCGCAACCCCUGUUGUUAGUUGCCAUCGAGUCAUGUCGGGAACUCUAACAAGACUGCCGGUGCAAACCGUGAGGAAGGUGGGGAUGACGUCAAAUCAUCACGGCCCUUACGUCCUGGGCUACACACGUGCUACAAUGGCCGGUACAGAGAGCAGCCACUACGCGAGUAGGCGC